rnacentral:misc_RNA from 1 species
UCACAGUUUACACCGGCAGUUUUGUUAGAGUCCCCAGCUUUACCCGAUGGCAACUAACAAUAGGGGUUGCGCUCGUUAUAGGACUUAACCAAACACUUCACAGCACGAACUGAAGACAACCAUGCAGCACCUUGUAAUACGUCGUAUAGACUAAGCUGUUUCCAGCUUAUUCGUAGUACAUUUAAGCCUUGGUAAGGUUCCUCGCGUAUCAUCGAAUUAAACCACAUGCUCCACCGCUUGUGCGAACCCCCGUCAAUUCCUUUGAGUUUCAAUCUUGCGAUUGUACUUCCCAGGUGGAUCACUUAUCGCUUUCGCUAAGCCACUGAAUAUCGUUUUUCCAAUAGCUAGUGAUCAUCGUUUAGGGCGUGGACUAC